rnacentral:rRNA from 1 species
AUUGAACGCUGGCGGAAUGCUUUACACAUGCAAGUCGAACGGUAGAGGGGCAACCCUUGAGAGUGGCGAACGGGUGAGUAAUGUAUCGGAACAUGCCCAGCCGUGGGGGGUAACGUAGCGAAAGUUACGCUAAUACCGCAUACGAUCUAUGGAUGAAAGCGGGGGAUCGCAAGACCUCGCGCGAUUGGAGUGGCCGAUAUCAGAUUAGGUAGUUGGUGGGGUAAAGGCCUACCAAGCCGACGAUCUGUAGCUGGUCUGAGAGGACGACCAGCCACACUGGGACUGGGACACGGCCCAGACUCCUACGGGAGGCAGUAGUGGGGAAUGUUGGACAAUGGGCGCAAGCCUGAUCCAGCCAUUCCGCGUGCAGGAAGAAGGCCUUCGGGUUGUAAACUGCUUUUGUCAGGGAAGAAAUCUUCUGGGCUAAUACCCCGGGAGGAUGACGGUACCUGAAGAAUAAGCACCGGCUAACUACGUGCCAGCAGCCGCAGUAAAAC